GCCCCGGUGGCUUAAAGGAUGAGCAUCGCGCUUCUAACGCGAUUUAUACGGGUUCGAGCCCUGCCCGGGGUUCCA
rnacentral:tRNA from 1 species